rnacentral:misc_RNA from 1 species
CGAAAUGCGAUAAGUAAUGUGAAUUGCAGAAUUCAGUGAAUCAUCGAAUCUUUGAACGCACAUUGCGCCCCUUGGUAUUCCGAGGGGCAUGCCUGUUCGAGCGUCAUUUCAACCCUCAAGCUCUGCUUGGUAUUGGGCUUCGCUGGGCUUCUCUCAUGCCCGGCGGGCCUCAAAGCUAUCGGCGGCCUUGGCUCUGCUUCGAGCGUAGUAAAGAUUAUAUCUCGCUUUGGAAGUUGGGCCUUUGCCUGCCGGAUGAACUGGGCUUUACAUGCCCAACUCUCAAGGUUGACCUCGGAUCAGGUAGGGAUACCCGCUGAACUUAAGC